UAUUAUUCUUAGAUAAAUAUAUCCUUAAGUUAGUAAUAGAUAUUUACUUAAAAAUUAAAAGAUUUGGCGGUAAUUUAAUCUUUUCAGAGGAACUUGUUUUUUAAUCGAUAAUCCGCGAAAUAUCUUGCUUAUUUUGAUAAUAGUUUGUAUACCAUCAUUAUCAGGUAAUUUUAUAAGAAUGAAUUACUAGAAUUAAGAGAUUAAUAAAAUUAGAUCAUGGUGCAGCUUAUGGAUAAGUUAAAAUGAGUUACAAUAAAAUUUUUUAAUACGGAUAAAUAAAAGAAUUUUUGUUUUAAAGGAGGAUUUGGUUGUACUUGAGAUUUAAUACGUCUUGGGGAUGAUAGCUCUAAAUUAUGUACAUA
rnacentral:rRNA from 1 species